AGGAUUGCAGCAGCAACGGGGC
rnacentral:miRNA from 1 species